rnacentral:rRNA from 1 species
UACAGGGGGUGCAAACGUUGCUCGGAAUUAUUGGGCGUAAAGCGCACGUAGGCGGUUUGUUAUGUCGGAUGUGAAAGCCCUUGGCUCAACUGAGGAAGUGCAUCCGAAACUGGCGAGCUAGAGUAUGUAAGAGGGUCGCGGAAUUCCCGGUGUAGAGGUGAAAUUCGUAGAUAUCGGGAGGAACACCGGUGGCGAAGGCGGCGACCUGGGACAAUACUGACGCUGAGGUGCGAAAGCGUGGGGAGCAAACAGG